AUGGUCGUUGCUCAAGUUCUCAUCUUCGGAGUCGUCCUCCUGUUAAAUAUAUAUCAACUGUUAUGCCAAUCGGCCAGACAUGGGGAAUACAGUUGGGGUAGUGGACAUCCUUGGUAAUACGGCUAACAGGAUAAUGAUAAUGAAGGACAAGCAAAGCAACGAUUGGAACGCCGCUAAUUUUGCUAGUAACUCGAAAUCCUAAAAAACUCGAAAUGAAAAAAAACUCAACAAUAAAGCACAUACCG
ensembl:ncRNA lncRNA:CR43166 long non-coding RNA:CR43166